CAGGUAGCUUGAGGAAGGAGAUGCUCCCCUCACCGGGUCUUCCAUGGUGCUCCUCGGUUCCUCCAUCCCCGUCUCAUCUGACACCGUGAGCACUAAAAAAAAAGACUCUGCAAGGAGACAUUGUGGUGGGUAGCCGGGCCAGCUUUGACCUGGAAGUACCACCCCCAUUGAGGCUUCGGUAACUGUCACACCUACAAGGCAGAGCCGAGAGAGGACCCUGAAGACCUGACAUCUGGAUGGGCCGGCUCCCUUGGUUCCUGGAUCCUGGAUGUUGGAGGUAGACGGAACAGAGUUCUCCAGAGAACAGCGCCGGACUGCACUACACCUUUCCCAGACCCUGUUACCUAUCCCUUCACUUGUAAGUUACCCCACAGAAUAAACCUCCCUUUUAACUA